rnacentral:piRNA from 1 species
UAAAAUGUCCAGGACAUUUCACUGAGGGA